rnacentral:tRNA from 1 species
GAGGUUGUGGCUCAGUGGCAGAGUGCUUGCCUAGCAUGUGUGAGACACUGGGUUCGAUUCUCAGCACCACA